GGAAUGGGAUAUUCCGACUCCUUAAGGGCCAGGCGCACAUAAGGUGUGACCUUUUCAUUCCCGUUGUUAUGGAGGGCCACAUCUGCCAGAGCCUGGAGUCUGCGAAGGCCGGGACCCGGUUCCCCGGCCCACCGUGGGGGGGGGUGUGCAAACCCGAGAGAACUGGAUUGCGUACCCACUGCAGAGUGCUGAAGACGGGGUAGCCACGAGGUUGCAAAUUCGUGAAGAAUCAGCAUCAUGUUUGGCAGCUGAGUAUUGGAGCCAGGAGCCUGCCAUGAGGUUUUGAGAACAGAGUGCUGUUUUAGAGCUGGCAGCAGCAUCUCAGCCCAAGAGAAGGUUAUAUUCCCAGAGGAUGUCAGUCCCAAGGACCAGUAGCUGCCAUCAGUUUGGAUUCUGAAAACUAACCGGCAUCAACACUGGGUGUAGAAACAUGCUUGCCUUAUGUAUCAGAGGACAUGCUCAGCAGAUCCAAGAGAUAUAUUUGGCAACUUUUUCUAGAAAAGGCACAUUGGGUAUCAUUCAUUACAUUCUUGAGUUUUUUUGGUUUUUUUUUUUUUUUUUUUUUGAGACAGUCUUGCUGUAUUGCCCAGGCUGGAGUGUGGUGGCACAAUCACAGCUCAUUGCAUCCUCAAUCACCCAGGCCUAAGCAAUCCUCCCACCUUGUAGCUGGGACUAUAGCUCACAGCACACCUGGCUAAAAUUUUUUUUUUGUUAAGACGGAUUCUCUAUGUUGCCCAGGCUGGUCUCAGGCUCCUGGGCUCAGAUGGUCCUCCUGCCUCAGCUUCCAAAGGCACAGGCCAAGUUGUAGCUUUGUCCCUUGCCAUCAUGCCCAACAAGAGGUUCUAUACCUUUUAAUGAAUUGACUUUCAUAAAUUGGUUAUGUUGGUGGGCAAGUUCUUUAAGCUGGAAAUUGUAAAUUCCUCCUGAAAUGUUUUUUCAUGCAGUUACCAUGAACUAAUACUACAAUAAAGGAUGGUCUUGGGUGUCAAUUCUUGAAAA
rnacentral:antisense_RNA from 1 species